rnacentral:misc_RNA from 1 species
UCUCCGUUGGUGAACCAGCGGAGGGAUCAUUAUCGAGUUUAUAACUCCCAAACCCUAUGUGAACUUACCACUUGUUGCUUCGGCGCGCGCUUCGGUGCCGCCGAGGACACUUAAACUCUUUGUUUUUAUAAGCAUUUCUGAGUGGCCGAAAGGCAAAAUACAAAUGAAUCAAAACUUUCAGCAACGGAUCUCUUGGUUCUG